rnacentral:rRNA from 1 species
GAUGAACGCUGGCGGCGUGCCUAAUACAUGCAAGUCGAGCGAACAGACGAGGAGCUUGCUCCUCUGACGUUAGCGGCGGACGGGUGAGUAACACGUGGAUAACCUACCUAUAAGACUGGGAUAACUUCGGGAAACCGGAGCUAAUACCGGAUAAUAUAUUGAACCGCAUGGUUCAAUAGUGAAAGACGGUUUUGCUGUCACUUAUAGAUGGAUCCGCGCCGCAUUAGCUAGUUGGUAAGGUAACGGCUUACCAAGGCAACGAUGCGUAGCCGACCUGAGAGGGUGAUCGGCCACACUGGAACUGAGACACGGUCCAGACUCCUACAGGAGGCAGCAGUAGGGGAUCUUCCGCAAUGGGCGAAAGCCUGACGGAGCAACGCCGCGUGAGUGAUGAAGGUCUUCGGAUCGUAAAACUCUGUUAUUAGGGAAGAACAAAUGUGUAAGUAACUAUGCACGUCUUGACGGUACCUAAUCAGAAAGCCACGGCUAACUACGUGC